CGCUGGCGGCAGGCCUAACACAUGCAAGUCGAGCGGAUGAAGGGAGCUUGCUCCUGGAUUCAGCGGCGGACGGGUGAGUAAUGCCUAGGAAUCUGCCUGGUAGUGGGGGAUAACGUCCGGAAACGGGCGCUAAUACCGCAUACGUCCUGAGGGAGAAAGUGGGGGAUCUUCGGACCUCACGCUAUCAGAUGAGCCUAGGUCGGAUUAGCUAGUUGGUGGGGUAAAGGCCUACCAAGGCGACGAUCCGUAACUGGUCUGAGAGGAUGAUCAGUCACACUGGAACUGAGACACGGUCCAGACUCCUACGGGAGGCAGCAGUGGGGAAUAUUGGACAAUGGGCGAAAGCCUGAUCCAGCCAUGCCGCGUGUGUGAAGAAGGUCUUCGGAUUGUAAAGCACUUUAAGUUGGGAGGAAGGGCAGUAAGUUAAUACCUUGCUGUUUUGACGUUACCAACAGAAUAAGCACCGGCUAACUUCGUGCCAGCAGCCGCGGUAAUACGAAGGGUGCAAGCGUUA
rnacentral:rRNA from 1 species